UGAGACAUCAGAGGAAAGAAUAAUGGCGUGUGUACAGUAGACACAAUGUAGAUUACAAUUUAUAACAGGAUGCAGGAUGGAGCCAGCACUUGAUUAGGGGACCAUGUUACAAAUUUUUCAGCAUAUGUCCUCUGUUUUUCUUUGCCUUGGCAUAGAUGGCUGGGCACUGCUGGUAAGUAAAUCAGAUCGUCAGAAAAUGCCCAUGUUGAUGAGAACUGAAGGAUCCAAGGAAAUUAACUUGAGUUGUAUUUUAGACAAUUCUGCCAUAUCCAUUCCUUGCCCAGAGCUGUCAACUGCGAAAGAGUUGUGCCCACUCACAGCUUAAUCAGAGAUAAAAAUUAUCCCUAGUUGAUGAAUAUGUUCACCAUGAAGCUAGUGGCAGAGCACAGAUUCCCAGCACAGAGUUCUGCAUGUCUCGCACUAAGACAUGACAUAUACUGAUGUGUUUUUUUUUCCUCUGAGCAGCACCCUCAUACUCAACACUUUGCCCUGCUCUUCCCCAGAUACACAGAAAGCCUGGGCAAGGGAAGUUUUCCAGGAUGAAACAUGGGAAGCUCCUGCUGAUGAGCCUGUAGGACCUUACAGUUCUUUGUGUGUCUGCUUGAAAUGGCUGCACAGGAGCUGUUCACCUGAUUGCUAGGGAUGACGUCAGGAAGGAAUUCUUCCCCUCCAUCUGAUCACAAAGGCUGAUUCUUUCAUCUUCUGUGAUUCGAGGCUUGGAUUCCCUCCUGGAUGUGUCCGCAAUCACACUCUCUGCUGUUGUUAGGACCUGAUACGUCGGCAUGGCUCUCGCUCUCUCCUCAUCAGUUUACUUUCUAACAUCCUGAAAGCUUCAUCAUGACUGCUCAGUGCACCUCACCCUGGGCUGAGAUUAAAAGUUAAAAAAGAGAAAGAGUGAACACAACGGGAGAGAAAACAGAAGAGAUUUUGGCAGCAACCUGGUGACACACUGAAAGGCCUUUGGGGUAACAGAGAACAGCAAGCAACUUGUGAUCCACAAAGGAGAAUGGCAGCAAAAGCAACAGGAUUGAACUUCUGCCAAUAGUGGUGAUGGUUGAACUCUCUCCUGAGAAAGUCAGUCUGUCUGUAUGGAAGGAGCAAGACAAACGCUUGGACAUGAGUCCCAGCUUUGCAGCUGCAGACCAGGACCGCUUUGUCAGGCAGCAGUUGGAUGAGACUUGAUGGGAGAAUCACCCAAGACAAGGAGUGCAAAGGGGUUUACCACUGCAGAGACAUGGGAGCACCUCAGCUAGGACAGCACUGUUUCAUUGAAUGAUGCAUGUGCUCCCAGUAACUCAGGUCAGAAAGGAGCUGUCAGAGACCUGCCUCUCUUGAAAAGCAUGUGGAUUUCAUCUACACAAGCAUAACUGCUAUUACUGUCAGUGGUAAUAUUCCCUUCUUGACACGUAUGUAUUAUUAUUAAUCUUCCAAGCUAUUUCUAAGCUAUUAACUUUACAAAACCCACAGAGACUGUUAAGGACAAUGGAGUUGAGCCCGUUCCACAGGCAGGGAAAAUGUACUAGAUGCUAUCGUUAGAUUGAUUUGGGAGUAAAGAAAAAAUAAACCCAGUUCUUCUCUUGGUAGUCAUAUGGACAACUUAAAUCUAGUUCCAAACAAUCAAAAUUCAUCCCUUCAUGGCUGCUAGAUGACAGAUCUCUGGCCAAGCCACAUACGCUCUGGUAGCAAUAGGCUUAGAUACAUUUCUUGCCAGGCAAGUUUCUAACCUUCAGAAGCUGUGUUACCUAUGGGCAGGACGUGGCAAUAGCACAGGGAAAUUUUCAUCCUCAAUGAGAAAUACCUCUGGGACAAAGGAAAGAUUGUGUGGCAUUUAGAACAGAUUGUGUACACGUAUGAGAAGGCAACAGAAAGCUCAUUCAGAAGGCAGCUGCUUCUUUAUAUCCUCUCCAUGUGUAUGAACUUAUGGUUGUAUGAAAGCCAUAUCCAGUUAUUGAAGUAUUUGAUGAUCCAAAGUGCUCACGGCCUUCUUAUUUCACCUCAUUCAUCACAGAAGCUUCGUACAACCUUUAUACAGGUGUCAGCCCCCAGUAAAUACAAUAGCUCACCAAUAAAGGAUGGUCUCUCCCUCUGUCGGGAGGACUGGUAUUCAAGAGGUGGUACUUUUGAUAUGAUGCUUAUUUAAAAUU